GAUCCCAGACUUCCCCAAAAUCCACGUGUCUCGCCCAGCCAGUCCAGAGAGACUCAACUGAUAUUUUGCAAGACUUAAAACUCCUCAGCCGAUUUCCUGUCCAUAAUUGGCUAAAAGAUGUCCCUGACAAGGACGAAAAGGGACUGUUUUCCCAGGAUGCCAGCAUGCUGCUGCUUUCUCAUUCCUGCCGAUACAGGUGGUGUUUCUCCUAAAGCGUGGCACGGGAGUAGCCUGCUGGCCACCAGGAGGAACAGGGAGCUGGGGCAUUUGCCUCCUGUGCGUGUGACACUGAGUGCAAGGAGCACUGCUAUGGCAUGAAAAUCCACAGGCUGAAGGGUGAAAACUUUACACCCAGAAGAGCAGAUUCUGGAAAACAGCCACUCUGGAAAACAUAGGUAAAAACAAUCUCCCUGUUCCACAAAAGGUCCCUUUGGUUCCCUGACUGCAGAGGGUAUGUUACAUUGCCGUUUCCCGAGGCACGGUGUAAUACUCUGCUCUGAAAGUUCGGAGGCAAAGACUUUUGCUCUGACUGCAGUAGAGUUUACUCCUCAUCUAAUUUUCCCUGCUCUUGGACAGCGUGGUGCCCGGACGAAGCUCCAAUUCCCUGUGUGCAAGGAUGCCAACAGGAUCAAGGAGAGGGUGCUUUCACCAGGUGCAGAAUGGCUGUGCGGGGCUGAGGCACCGGCGAGUUGGCACAGCCUUUGCCCUGCGGGGAGGCGAUGGGGGCAAAGGGCUGCCUCUGGCCUUUGCCCUUGGAUAAGGGCCCCCGACGGAGACUCUGUCCCCAGGCUCGCGCGCGGCGCAGGGCUCUGCCUGGCACCUGCCCGCGCUGCACCGGGUGCAGCCGAGACCCUGGUGAUCAGUGAUCGUGCACGGGCAGCCAGCGGCGCGGACGGGAGGAGCGCGUCCCCCCGGCGGCGAUCCAGGUAGGGGCUCCUCUGGCCACCAGGCCGUGCAGGGCUGCGUGGGACCUGCCCUGCUCCUGGCGCGGCGGCUGGGCACGUUUCAGCUGGUGCUGGUCUUCCGUGCCCCACUCGGGUGUCUUGCCCCGUCCUCUCUCCGGUCUCCCCGCGGCCCGGCCCAACUAGGGGAUCUCCUCAACCGCGUGAUCCCGACACCCCCGAGAUCACACCUGUGCCGAAACAGCACUGCUGUGGCCUGCCUGGCUCCGCUGGAGAGUCCUGCAGCUUCCUCGGGGCUGAGCCUUGCACCCCUGCACGGCACUGCGCUGCACCCUAACUCGGUGCUGCACCCCCCCAAGAGCUGCACCCCUGCAUUGCACUGCACCCUAACUCGGUGUGCACCCGCCCCCAA
rnacentral:lncRNA from 1 species